rnacentral:lncRNA from 1 species
AGUUAGUCUUUUAUGACUAGGUUCUAUCUUUUAGGUCUUGUAUUUGUUGGCUAAUUAACUCUUGGAUAGCUUCUAUCCAUGACUUUUGUAUUAUGAGUUAACUCAUAUGUAUUGGAACUCCUAUGUAUUCAGUCACUUUUUGAAUAUAUAUAUAUAUAUAUACUUUGACUUUCAAUGAAUGUUUAUGAUUGGAAUCAAAUCAAAUUAAAUCAUAUUUGUGCUGUAAAAUACUAUGAAUUGCAAUAUCUUUUAGAUGAGCAAAUUGGUAUAUCCUUUAUGUUUGCUAUGUUGAGGGGGAGCA